GGGGCAGAUGUGGGACAACUUCACUUCCUCAUCCCGCCGACCCUCCGACCCUCCACAUCCCGCCGACCCUCCCGCCGACCCUCCUUAGUUGGUGUCCCUGGAGUUGAAUUUCAAAUAAUGGCCCAUUUAGUCCUCUCCAGGGCCAUCCCACAUGUCCUCAUCAGGCUCAGCUGGAGAGAACAGCCUCACAAAGACAGGAGGGCUCGCUUGAGUGGAGAGGGCUAUCAGAGGAACUGAACUGCUCAUAGAUGAUUUCUUUUUUUAACCCUUAUUUUACCAGUUCAUACUGUAUUUGGAACUGAAGAACACAUUUACCCAACAUGAACUUCAGUGCGCCAUACUAUAAUAAGGGAUUCCUCAGCCUUUUGUUGUUGACGGGCCAUAUCAUCAACAAAAGACCACAAUGUACCAUAGGAGUUACUGCAAUGACUUACCCAUGAUUGGUCCUAUAUCUCAGGAGCUGAGGAGAUCUCUGUACUAUCAAUCAGUCCUCUGAAAUGGCAGGAGGGGUUCCCUGGCCACCUCCUCCCUAAAGGGCCCACCAUGGAGGAAACCAGAGCUGCCCUAACAAUGAUGAAUGGACAUCAUUAAUGUUGUUAAUCUGUUUACCUUUUUCUCUGGAAUCUGGGAAAAUGAGGGGUCAACAACGAGAGGGAAACGUUCUUACUUCGGCACCCCAGUUCCUGCAAGCCACCCAUUUGGUCUUCAGAACAUCAACAGCCACUACAGAGUGUGCAGGGGACUCAUUAACUACACGUUGACCUGACUGUCUUCUGCACUACGUUCUACUGGAGCACUCCUGCACUACGUUCUACUGGAGCACUCCUGCACUACGUUCUACUGGAGCACUCCUGCACUACGUUCUACUGGAGCACUCCUGCACUAUGUUCUACUGGAGCACUCCUGCACUACGUUCUACUGGAGCACUCCUGCACUACGUUCUACUGGAGCACUCCUGCACUACGUUCUACUGGAGCACUCCUGCACUACGUUCUAU
rnacentral:lncRNA from 1 species